AUUGAUUGGAGCUUUCAUUUUAAGACUUUCAGUAAUUCAAUAGAAAUAAAAUAAUAUGACGGUAUUUGGCUAAGGGACUAAGUAACGUAGAUAGUAAUGUUGAAUUUAUUUAUAAAUGAGAUUCAUCACAAAGUACUAAUAUCAUUUAUUUGAGGAAAAUAUAGGUAUCCUCAUAUUAAUAGUUUGAGGUAAUCAUAAUAUAUCUAAUCCAACCCACUCUUUUACUUUCUUCAUACUUGCCGGGUAGUCGGUAUUUUUUUGGGGAGGGCUAUUGCUUAUAUAUCCUGAAAAGUUCUCGACUUUCUUAUAUACCCUUAUUAGAAGUCUAAUAUUAAAACUACCCUUCUAACGUUCCAUGUUCUUUCAAAUAUACCUCUAGAAUUAAAUAUUUUUAGCGAAUAUUUAACAGCCGCGGUUAUCCCUAUAAAUUACUAUUUUUUCCAUUCAAAUAUACCCUUCUAGGGCAUGUUUGUUUCACCGAAACUGGAGUUUGGGUUGAAGUAGACUUAAUUUGGGUUGAAGUAGAGUUCGUGACAACUACUUUUUUUCCGUUGUUUGUUUCGUAGUUAUGGAAGUGAAGUUUUAUUAGUUCUGCUGUUUGUUUGGUAGGAAGUGUAUGAUGUAAAACUAGAAUUUAUAUAUAAAUAAUAAUGGUUUUAAUACAUAAAAAUAAUAUAAUUAUAUUUUUAUAUAAUUAAAAUUUAAUUUAAAACAAUUAAAUUAUUUUUUACACAUAAUUUUUUUAUACAUAAAUUAUAGUAAUACAAUAAUAAAAUUAUAAAGUAAAAAAAUAAUAAUACUUAAUUAAUCAAUUUUUAUUAUAUUUUAGUUGUACAAACUAAAUAAAAAAAUAUUAAAACUUAACUAAUCAAUUUUUAUCAUAUUUUAAAUAUACCAACUGAAUAAAAGAUUAAUUAGUAAUAUAAUUAAAUAUAUUUAAAUAUAACUAUCAUUACCUAUUAUAUUUUUUUUUUUCUUUUCCUCUCUUCACCGUAAUUGACUUCGGCCCAUGCCGUUUGAGAUUAACUCGAGUUUCGACCGUAACUUUUUUACGGCGAACCAAACAACGGAACUGACCGUUUAUGGCGAAAGCUUCCUUCCCCUCCACUUCCACCCUAUUUUCACCCAAACAAACAUGCCCCUACUGUACAAACUUUUCAUAUUUACCCUUCAAAUGACAAAUACUUUUCUUAUUUACCCUUCAAAUAUGAAAUUCUUUUCUUAUUUACCCUCCAACGGCCAUUCCAAAGGUAACCUUCUUCUUUAACCUUAUAAAAGCACACCCAUGGCUAAAAAACAAGGCAAGUUUACUUCAUCUUCUAUUAGCCUUUUUCUCCUCCUAUUUGCCUCACUUCUAGCCAUAUAUGAGCCAUCUAAGUGAGAGAUCUGCGUCCUCUCCUAGAGCACAAAUCUCUUUGUGCGAUUGCAGAAAAUCUUGCAAAAUAUGGGUAUCGAAGCAGCCAACCAACAAAGGACGUCGAUUCUACCAUUCCUCAAAUUAGGGGCUAAGAAAAGCUAUUGCAUAUUCUAACCUCAUGAUUGUAAGUUAUGAAUUCCCAAAGAUCUAAAAGGUAAAAUAACACCUAGAGGGGCGUAAAUAGGUGUAAACGACAAAACAAAAAUUUCGAUGCAAAAUAAAAAAAUUAAGUGUGAAAAAUUAAAACCAACACACCAAGAUUUUACGUGAAAAAAUUUCAACUUGGAGUAAAAAAUCCACAGGACCGAUCACACAAAAUAAUCCACUAUAAAAAAUUGAGAAUAAAGUGAUUUACCAAAUUCAUGACCUAACUUUUACCGAAUCCUCGUAGUAAAUCAUCUUCGUCAGUCCUCAAUUGAUCGAACUCUUCCAACCUGUAACGUACCGAAACCUCGGUAGGAUAUACCGAAUAUCAGUCAAAUUGACCGAAGUGUGGUAGUGGACAAGUUGGUGAGGUCUGUGAGGUUUUUCGAAUAUUUCGGAAUGGUUUAAUAGGUAUUUGGACCUUGGAGAGCAAAAUUG
rnacentral:lncRNA from 1 species